rnacentral:ncRNA from 2 species
CAACUGAAUAAUACAUGAGGUGCUUUUGUGUAGCAGCAAAAGCUUAAAAGGGAAAGAGGUUAGAUUCCUCUACAGCCCCCGCUACUGUGUACAGGGAUGAAAUCUUCAAUACCCACUGGAUCUUUGAUCCGGGAAGGGGAAGAGAGUAAAGAGAUCUGUAAGUCAGGAGACCUGCCUUGUUGUAUGGAUACUG